UACGUAGGUGGCAAGCGUUGUCCGGAUUUACUGGGCGUAAAGAGCGCGCAGGCGGUCGUGCAAGUCGCGUGUGAAAGCCCCCGGCUCAACUGGGGAGGGUCACGCGAUACUGCUCGACUCGAAGGCAGGAGAGGGAAGUGGAAUUCCCGGUGUAGUGGUGAAAUGCGUAGAUAUCGGGAGGAACACCAGUGGCGAAGGCGACUUCCUGGCCUGUUCUUGACGCUGAGGCGCGAAAGCUAGGGGAGCAAACGGG
rnacentral:rRNA from 1 species